AUUGGAGACACCGGCCGGUAUCGACGGCCGUCGCGACGCUCCGCGACGCGUGUGUACGUUCGUCCGUGCAUCCUUCAUUCGCGUAAGGGUAGAGAAAUAAAAGGAGUGGUAUAAAGAGGAGAAAGAUCUGCCUGCGAGACGAGAGCGAGAGGAAGCCGCGUCGUGCGACAGGGAGGGUCAAUGGUGCUCGCGUGAUCGGUUAUCGCAGCAUCAAUUUUUCGUGUUGUGACGAGUGUCUCAGACCGGUGCAUCUCGAAUCGCUUGGUGCUAGUAGUCGCGAGUAAUUAGUGAUUCGGCGGAUCGGGAGAGAAAGAGAGAGAGGGAGAGAGAGAGAGA